rnacentral:rRNA from 1 species
AUGAGAGCAAGGUGGCCUAUGCCAUAUCAUCUCAGCAGACGGCGUCGCCAUGGACCCGGCCAAGGCGAAAGCGGCGGAGGCAUGACCAGAACCACGAAGUGUCCGCACCCUUCGUGGGUUCCUUGGGCUUGCUUGUUUUAUAGCAAGUUCAUCCAGGACUACGGCGUGCUCUCAGCUCCACUCACCAAACUCGUCAACAAAGAAGGCUUUGUGUGGUCCUCGGAGGCCGACACAGCCUUUUGCAUGCUCAAGCAAGCCCUCGCAGCAGCACCUGCCUUGCAGCUACCGGACUUUGACUCUCUGUUCUUGGUGGACUAUGAUGCAUCUGGCACGGGCUUUGGAGCCGUGCUGCACCGUAGGGCAGACCCCUACUUUCUUCAGCAGGGCGGUGGCACCAUGCCAUGCCAAGCUAGCAGUUUAUGA